UCGGGAAUUUUGGGCAAUGGGCGAAAGCCUGACCCAGCAACGCCGCGUGAAGGAUGAAGUAUUUCGGUAUGUAAACUUCGAAAGAAUAGGAAGAAUAAAUGACGGUACUAUUUAUAAGGUCCGGCUAACUACGUGCCAGCAGCCGCGGUAAUACGUAGGGACCAAGCGUUGUUCGGAUUUACUGGGCGUAAAGGGCGCGUAGGCGGCAAUUCAAGUCAUCUGUGAAAUCUCCGGGCUUAACUCGGAACGGUCAGAUGAUACUGCUUUGCUAGAGUGCAGAAGGGGCAAUCGGAAUUCUUGGUGUAGCGGUGAAAUGCGUAGAUAUCAAGAGGAACACCUGAGGUGAAGACGGGUUGCUGGGCUGACACUGACGCUGAGGCACGAAAGCGUGGGGAGCAAACAGGAUUAGAUACCCAUGUAGUCCCUG
rnacentral:rRNA from 1 species